rnacentral:rRNA from 1 species
AACGAACGCUGGCGGCAUGCCUAACACAUGCAAGUCGAACGAGACCUUCGGGUCUAGUGGCGCACGGGUGCGUAACGCGUGGGAACCUGCACUUAGGUUCGGAAUAACUCCCCGAAAGGGGUGCUAAUACCGGAUAAUGUCUUCGGACCAAAGAUUUAUCGCCUUUGGAUGGGCCCGCGUUGGAUUAGCUAGUUGGUAGGGUAAAAGCCUACCAAGGCGACGAUCCAUAGCUGGCCUGAGAGGAUGAUCAGCCACACUGGGACUGAGACACGGCCCAGACUCCUACGGGAGGCAGCAGUGGGGAAUAUUGGACAAUGGGCGAAAGCCUGAUCCAGCAAUGCCGCGUGAGUGAUGAAGGCCUUAGGGUUGUAAAGCUCUUUUACCCGGGAUGAUAAUGACAGUACCGGGAGAAUAAGCUCCGGCUAACUCCGUG